GACGAACGCUGGUGCGCCGCCUAAUACCUGAUCUGAGAACGCUGAAGGAUGAGCUUGCUUCUCCGGAUGAUUUGCAAACGGAUGAGAAACGCGAACGUAUCCUGCCUGGUCGCUCCGGGCAUCACUGAUUGGAAACCACUCCGUAAUACCGCAUAGCAGUAUAUAUUGCAUGAUAUCUGUCUUGAAAGGUGAUGAUGCGUCACUACCACAUGGACCUGCCUAGUAUAACCUAGUUGGUGACGUAACGGCUCACCACGGCAAGCUGCAUACACCGACCUGAGAGGGUGAUCGGCCACACUAGUACUGAAACACUGCCCAAACUCCUACGAGAAGCACCAUGAAGGAAUCGUCAGCCAUGCACCGAAGUCUGACCAAACCCCGCCUCGUGAGUGAACAAGGUUUUCUGAUCGCAUGGCUCUGUUGUACGAGAAGAACCAGUGUGAUAGUGGAGAGCUCACACUGGGACGAUAUCUUACCAAAUAGGGACAGCUAACUACUUGCCACCAUCCUCGGCAAUACGUACGUCCCGAGCGUUGUCCGGAUUUAUUGAGAGUAAAGCGAGCGCCCGCGGUUAGAUAAGUCUGAAGUUAACGGCUGUGGCUUAACCAUAAUACGCUUUGGAUCCUGUUUAACUUGAGUGCAAGAGGGGAGAGUGGAAUUCCCUGAGACCCGCCGACAUGCGUAGCAUAUAUGGAGGAACACAGGUGGGGAAAGCGGCUCUCUGGGUUGUAACUGACGGUGAGGCUCGAAAGCGUGUGGAGCAAACAGGAUUAGAUACGAUGGUAGUGCACACCGUAAUCGAUGAGUGCUAGGUGUUAGACCCUUUCCGGGGUUUAGUGCCGUAGCUAAUGCAUUAAGCACUCCGCCUGGGGAGUACGACCGCAAGGUUGAAACUCAAAGGAAUUGACGGGGGCCCGCACAAGCGGUGGAGCAUGUGGUAUAAUUUGAAGCAACGCGAAGAACCUAUCCAGGUCUUGACAUCCCUCUGACCGCUCUAGAGAUAGAGUUUUCAUUUGGGACAGAGGUGACAGGCGGUGCAUGGUUGUCGUCAGCUCGUGUCGAGAGAUGCUGGGCUAAGUCUCGCAACGAGUGCAACUCAUAUUGUUAGUAGCCAUCAUUUAGUUGGGCAAUCUAAUGAGACUGGAGGUAAUAAACCGGAGGAAGGUGGGGAUGACGUCAAAUCAUCAUACCCCUUAUGACCUGGGCUACACACAUGCUACAAUGGAGUGGUACAACGAGUGGCAAGUCGGUGAGAACAAGGUAAUCUCUUAAAGCCAGUAUCAGUUCGGAUUGUAGUCAGCAACUCGCAUACAAGAAGUAAGAAUUUCUAGUAAUCGCGGAUCAGCACAACGCGGUGAAUAAGUUUUCGGCCUG
rnacentral:rRNA from 1 species